rnacentral:rRNA from 1 species
GACGAACGCUGGCGGCGUGCUUAACACAUGCAAGUCGAACGGAAAGGCCCCUUUGGGGGUACUCGAGUGGCGAACGGGUGAGUAACACGUGAGUAACCUGCCCUUGACUUCGGGAUAACUUCAGGAAACUGGGGCUAAUACCGGAUAGGAAUCCUUGCUGCAUGGUGGGGGUUGGAAAGCUUCGGCGGUUUUGGAUGGACUCGCGGCUUAUCAGCUUGUUGGUGGGGUAGUGGCUUACCAAGGCUUUGACGGGUAGCCGGCCUGAGAGGGCGACCGGCCACAUUGGGACUGAGGUACGGCCCAGACUCCUACGGGAGGCAGCAGUGGGGAAGAUUGCACAAUGGGCGGAAGCCUGAUGCAGCAACGCCGCGUGCGGGAUGACGGCCUUCGGGUUGUAAACCGCUUUCAGCAGGGGCGAAGCUUGUGGUGACGGUACCUGCAGAAGAAGCACCGGCUAACUACGUG